AGUGUAGUUCGAACAUCUAAUUUGGGUAAAAUGGGUAAUUCGACCAUCCCAAAAUUGAACGUGUUAGCAUUUCAGAGCACAGGAAAACUAUUUUUAUUUCGCUGUUAAAAACCAAUUUCGCUCUAUGUAUUUUUCACGGUAUUGACAUUGACUCGGUAUACAUUUUCGGCGACGGCUUCUGACGCGAUACCCCGUCCUGGUUACGGGUCACCACGGAUAAUAUAAUGGGUACCGCACGGCAGAUAAUAAUAUAAAAC